GUCACCGGAAGUGACGUUUGUGCUGUGAACCGCACGGUACGGAAGUUGAGAGCGUCUUGGAACGCAGAUGACUUCCGACUGGCUGGGCGCUUCUGUGAGUUUAUUGGUGAGAUCGUUGGCACAUGUGCACUUGGCUGAGACGCACGCCGGUGUGUGACUGAUGGCGGUUCAACGCGGCUGUUUCAAAUUUGAGUGGCCGGAAUCAGAUAGCAGCAGGAGUAAGGACCUACAGUACUUGGCCGCAGAGGGAUGGAUCUACUAAAAUCAAUUGAUCUUCUCACUGGGAAUUCAUGUUCAACAUCAGCUUAGAAAAAGCUUCUCAUUACAAAGUCGCAGUUCAUUUACAAGUAGAUGUCAUAGAAUUGACAUGGGAAAACCAAAACUGGCCUGUCACUGGAUUGCAACUUCAUGAACGCAUAUAUACCUUUAUGUUAUGAAUCAGCCGCAUCAGGUCGUUUUGUAAAGAAAAUCGUCUCAAAAUGACUACAAAGUAAAUUUGAAAUGUCAUGUUUUGGGUUCUUUGGAAAUACAAUAAAAAAGGAUAAUGUAUGAUGUAGAUGUAGAUUUUAUGGCAUAAAGAAACAUGCAGCCUAUUUAUUCACCUUUUUC